AACGGUCGGCGCGGCCUGCCACGAGGGAGCGUCCGCGGCCCGCGCAGAGCCGCGCACCAAGCCGAUGGCGGUGGACGCAGCAGGGCCCCGCGGUCUGAGUGCGGGCAGGCGCGCGUGGGCGUGUCUCCCUGGCCCACGCGUGUCCCCGGCAUCAGUGUCUCGGCUCUGGUCCAGGACGAAGACUUCUGAAAGCGAGCCAAGGAGCACAGGAUGUUUCUUGGCUUCAAACCAUUUGGAUAAGUGAUGGCAGCAAGCUUUGGACUGUAAAGUCACCUCUUUAUAAGAGGACAGGAGCUCUUUGUAAAGAUUAUGAGACCUGAAGCUGGGGGAUGGCUGAGAAGGGAAAAGCACCUCUGCACAAGCGUGAGGAAAGGAGUUUGUUCUUCCAAAUCCAUGUAGAAAUCUUGAUGCCGUGC
rnacentral:lncRNA from 1 species